GUAGUCAUAUGCUUGUCUCAAAGAUUAAGCCAUGCAUGUCUAAGUAUAAGCAAUCUAUACAGUGAAACUGCGAAUGGCUCAUUAAAUCAGUUAUCGUUUAUUUGAUAGUACCUUACUACUUGGAUAACCGUGGUAAUUCUAGAGCUAAUACAUGCUAAAAAUCCCGACCUCUGGAAGGGAUGUAUUUAUUAGAUAAAAAACCAAUGCCUUCGGGCUCCUUGGUGAUUCAUGAUAACUUUACGAAUCGCAUGGCCUUGUGCCGGCGAUGGUUCAUUCAAAUUUCUGCCCUAUCAACUUUCGAUGGUAGGAUAGUGGCCUACCAUGGUUUCAACGGGUAACGGGGAAU
rnacentral:rRNA from 1 species